rnacentral:rRNA from 1 species
AAGUUCCGAGACAGGUGCUGCAUGGCUGUCGUCAGCUCGUGCCGUGAGGUGUGGGUUAAGUCCGCAACGAGCGCAACCCUAUUGCCAGUUGCUACCAGGUAAUGCUGGGCACUCUGGUGAGACUGCCCGGUUAACGGGGAGGAAGGUGGGGACGACGUCAAGUCAUCAUGGCCCUUACGCCUAGGGCUACACACGUACUACAAUGGCGCAUACAAAGGGCAGCGAUACCGCGAGGUGGAGCCAAUCCCAAAAAGUGCGUCCCAGUCCGGAUUGCAGUCUGCAACUCGACUGCAUGAAGUUGGAAUCGCUAGUAAUUCGAGAUCAGCAUGCUCGGGUGAAUGCGUUCCCGGGCCUU